UAGGGAAUCUUCGGCAAUGGGGGCAACCCUGACCGAGCAACGCCGCGUGAGUGAAGAAGAUUUUCGGAUCGUAAAGCUCUGUUGUAAGAGAAGAACGUGUGUGAGAGUGGAAAGUUCACACAGUGACGGUAACUUACCAGAAAGGGACGGCUAACUACGUGCAAG
rnacentral:rRNA from 1 species